AUUGAACGCUGGCGGCAUGCCUUACACAUGCAAGUCGAACGGCAGCGGACCUUCGGGUGCCGGCGAGUGGCGAACGGGUGAGUAAUGCAUCGGAACGUGCCAUUGAGUGGGGGAUAACGUAGCGAGAGUUGCGCUAAUACCGCAUAUUCUGUGAGCAGGAAAGCAGGGGACCGCAAGGCCUUGCGCUCUUUGAGCGGCCGAUGUCAGAUUAGCUAGUUGGUGAGGUAACGGCUUACCAAGGCGACGAUCUGUAGCGGGUCUGAGAGGAUGAUCCGCCACACUGGAACUGAGACACGGUCCAGACUCCUACGGGAGGCAGCAGUGGGGAAUUUUGGACAAUGGGGGGCAACCCUGAUCCAGCCAUGCCGCGUGAGUGAAGAAGGCCUCGGUGUAACGCUUAGUCU
rnacentral:rRNA from 1 species